rnacentral:rRNA from 1 species
AGCGAACGCUGGCGGCAGGCUUAACACAUGCAAGUCGAGCGGACCUUUCGGGUUCAGCGGCGGACGGGUGAGAAACGCGUGGGAACGUGCCUUCCGGCUCGGAAUAACCCUGGGAAACUAGGGCUAAUAUCGGAUACGUCCCGAUGGGGAAAGGUUUACUGCCGGAGGAUCGGCCCGAGCAUGAUUGGCUUGUUGUGGGGGUAAGCGCCUACCACGGCGAGGAUCAGUAGCUGGUUUGAGACGAUGAUCAGCGACACUGGGACUGGGACACGGCCCCGACUCGUGCGAGAGGCGGGAAAGGGUGAUAUAGGACAAUGGGCGCGAGCCUGAACCAGCCAGGGCGGGAGAGUGAUGAAGGCCUUAGAGUUGUAAAGCACUUUUAUCCGGGACGGUAAUGACGGUACCGGAAGAAUAAGCACCGGCUAACUUCGUG